UACACGUGUACCGACAAUUGUCGGUGUCGUUAACGCUCCCUACCGACAUUUGUCGGUUAGAGCUAUUCUGUACAGCUCCUCACCGACGCGCGUCGUUAAAAAUGAACGACAAGUAUCGGUCAUAAACGAUAAUCCUACCAGGGGAUCCCUUGGCCAUCGGUAGCGCUUGACCGACGCACACGGACGAGAUUAUCGUCGGUUCAUGUGAUUAUGUUAGUGAAUUCGCGAUUUGAGGUAGUGAUACUGCACACAUUGCGAUUUCACAUAUUUAUAAAAUUUUUGGUUAGUUUAUUACGUUUCUGUUGGUGUAAAAUAUAAUAGUGUGUGUGUGCUGUAAAUUGUAAUCCAAAAAUGUGCAAUAUGGCUGAAUACCUCAUGUGGGAUCUUUUAUACCUUGAGAAUCGCGUGAGAAUGCUACAACGUCGAAUAGGAAGAAGAGUCUGGCGUGAUACUAAUAAUCCAUUCGAGUUACACGAUAAUGUUUUCAUUAAUUUAUUUCGCUUGCCACCUGACACUGUGUUGGAAUUAGCAGAGAUCUUAAGACCAAGGUUACAACGAUUAUGACCAUAUGGAAUUUCAGUACAGCGUCAAGUAUAUGCACAUAUAUUUUAUCUUUAAGAUUUUAUGCUGUUGGCUGCUACCAAGGUGCCAUUAGGGAACAAUGGAAUCUGGCUGUCAGUCAAUCGACUGUAAGCCGUUGUGUAGCAGUCGUGACAAAAGGAAUAAACGACCUAUUACUAUGACCAUGGGUAAAAUUUCCUAUUACAGCGGAGGAUCGACAAGCUGCAAGAGAAAAGUUCCGCACAGCACAACAUCUGUUUAUAGGUGCUAUCGGUGCAAUAGAUUGCACUUAUGUAUCGAUUCUGGCACCGCAACUUCAUGAAGAAGUCUACGUCAAUCACUGGGGUGAUCACUGUCUCAAUGUUCAAGCGAUUUGUGACCCUGAUUUAAAAAUUCUAAACAUUAAUGCUCGAUAUCCUGGGGCACGACAUGAUGCAUAUAUUUGGGCAAAUUGUGCUACUCUUCGUGUCAUGGAAUGAUGGUAUAUGCAAGGAGAACGCAAGACUUGGCUUAUCGAUGAUGGGUAUGGAUUGGAGCCGUGGUUAAUGACUCCAUUGAAACGAGCAGCUAGGAACUCCACGUUUUAAUUAUAAUGAAGAAUUAUGCAGUAACAUUGUUACAUUAAAUAUGUACAAUAUACAAUGUAAAGAGCGGGUCUGUGGGAUUUGAUAAAGGGGAUCUUCGUCAUCCAUCUCAAGUCGUUCAAUAUUUUCCUACAACAAACAAUUAUUAUAACGUAAAUUGUUUCUUUAUACACUACGCGUUGUUCAAUGUUCUGCAAUGGGGCUUCUUCAGCUGGAAAAUUGCCUGUGCGUAAGCGCUCAGCUCUUAACUUGCUUGCUUUCCUCGAAGAAAUGCUCUUCAGAUCCCGCCAUACCUAAUGUAUUAAAUAUAAUAAUGUAAUAUGCAAAUCCCAAUCAAAUGUAUCCCAGUAAACUAGUCAUAUAACAGAAAAGCAAUUAUAUAACAUUGAUAUUAGAAUGUCAGCUGAAUAAGGGAGAACAUUACAUAAAAUUUAUUUAACAUGUAUCAAGAUAUUGGGGUUUACUACGAAAUGUAUACAUGUCCGGAAAUCAAGGUGGGAAAGUAAUU